CCUUCCGCUCCUCAAUCAAAUCGGUCUUCCUCAAUCUCUCUGUGUUUUCAAUUUCAUCUUCUGUUGACGGAUUCUGCUUCUUCCUUAUGAUCUAACCUACUACCCCCCAUCUGCUUGUUUUUUAAGCUUUGAUUGUAUCUGUUCGUGAUCAUAACUUGGUCUGAUCCACUGAAAUUACCAGGUUCUGGUGACGACACAUCUGCCGUUGAUUUUGCUUCUCGGGUUUCUUUGCAUCCCAA
rnacentral:lncRNA from 1 species